rnacentral:rRNA from 1 species
CACUCCCCAGGCGGUCAACUUCACGCGUUAGUACGUUACUAAGGAAAUGAAUCCCCAACAACUAGUUGACAUCGUUUAGGGCGUGGACUACCAGGGUAUCUAAUCCUGUUUGCUCCCCACGCUUUCGUGCAUGAGCGUCAGUAUUGGCCCAGGGGGCUGCCUUCGCCAUCGGUAUUCCUCCACAUCUCUACGCAUUUCACUGCUACACGUGGAAUUCUACCCCCCUCUGCCAUACUCUAGCCCGCCAGUCACAAAUGCAGUUCCCAGGUUAAGCCCGGGGAUUUCACAUCUGUCUUAGCGAACCGCCUGCGCACGCUUUACGCCCAGUAAUUCCGAUUAACGCUUGCACCCUACGUAUUACCGCGGCUGCUGGCACGUAGUUAGCCGGUGCUUAUUCUUCCGGUACCGUCAUCCCUACAGGGUAUUAGCCCAUAAGAUUUCUUUCCGGACAAAAGUGCUUUACAACCCGAAGGCCUUCUUCACACACGCGGCAUUUCUGGAUCAGGGUUGCCCCCAUUGUCCAAAAUUCCCCACUGCUGCCUCCCGUAGRGUSUGGGCCGUGUCUCAGUCCCAGUGUGGCUGGUCGUCCUCUCAGACCAGCUACGGAUCGUCGCCUUGGUAGGCCUUUACCCCACCAACUAGCUAAUCCGCCAUCGGCCGCCCCUAAAGCGAGAGGUCUUGCGAUCCCCCCCUUUCCUCCGUAGAGCGUAUSGYGUAUUAAUCCGGCU